rnacentral:rRNA from 1 species
UCCUCCCUCGGGCGGCGUGCUUAACACAUGCAAGUCGAACGAAGAGCGAUGGAAGCUUGCUUCUCUCAAUCUUAGUGGCGAACGGGUGAGUAACGCGUAAUCAACCUGCCCUUCAGAGGGGGACAACAGUUGGAAACGACUGCUAAUACCGCAUACGAUCCAAUCUCGGCAUCGGGACUGGAUGAAAGGUGGCCUCUAUUUAUAAGCUAUCACUGAAGGAGGGGAUUGCGUCUGAUUAGCUAGUUGGAGGGGUAACGGCCCACCAAGGCGAUGAUCAGUAGCCGGUCUGAGAGGAUGAACGGCCACAGUGGGACUGAGACACGGCCCAGACUCCUACGGGAGGCAGCAGUGGGGAAUCUUCCGCAAUGGACGAAAGUCUGACGGAGCAACGCCGCGUGAGUGAGGACGGCCUUCGGGUUGUAAAGCUCUGUUAAUCGGGACGAAUGGUUCUUGUGCGAAUAGUGCGAGGAUUUGACGGUACCGGAAUAGAAAGCCACGGCUAGCUACGUG